GGUCUGAUGGCGUAGUUGGUUAUCGGCAUCUGUCUAACACACAGAAGGUCCUCGGUUCAAUUGUUCAUGCCU